UCUCUACCACCGCGACCACGGCCACGACACGAAGGAAUGUAUCCAACUCUGAGACGAGAUCGAGGAGCUCAUUCGGCGAGGUCGACUCGACAGGUUCAUCCGACGCAGGCCUGAGGGUAGAGGAGAUCGGCCAAGGGCCCUUCCGCAACCUGAACCACCAAGAAGGGAGGAGCAACUCGGGGACCGGCCUCCCAUCGGGACCAUCGACUCCAUCACCGGAGGGCCUCAAGGAGGAGCAGACCUCCCGCAACCGUGGAACUCGAGAAAUCUGUAAAUGUAUCACUUACGAUUUCACUUUGAAUCUAAAUUUCUUUCUACUUGACGUACUCUUCCCAUUUGGCAUGGAUUUGCCACGACUGGAUAUGUCCCCUCCAAACGCUUGAAACAAAGUUAUGUUGGGAACGGAGGGAGAACCCCAUCCUAACAUACCUGAAAUGAAAGUCCGACUAUCUCGAGAUCGGAUUAGGGGAGAGGCCUUACAACGCCCUAAUGUGCCCCCACAGCCAUGUCAGGAACAGGAGGAGGACCUCGUCCUGACGUGAGCAAAGUCAAAGGCCCAGUUCUUUUAGACCGGAUGGGGGGAGAGACCUUACAGCGUCCUAAUGUGCCCCCACAGCCAUAUUAGAAACAGAAGGAAGACCUCGUCCUGACAUGAGCAA
rnacentral:lncRNA from 1 species